CAGGGGUCGGGAUGUGUGCUGUGACAAAUGGGAAUAGGGCAUUCUGAAAAGUAAAACUAGGGCAGGGCAAUGCCUAAUUGGAAGAGUCAGAAAAGUGACAUCAAGCUGAGAACUAAAGGAUUUCCCUUGAAAUGAAGGUGGUAUGUUUGCAUGGGGCUUGGGGGAAAACAAGAUCAGAAUUCACAACUGGAUUAAAAAAAUUAGGCAAAUGACAAAGUUAGAAAAUGAUUUGAGAGGAAGAGCUCCACACCCCCACCACAAAGCUAAGGAGAACUGACCAUCAAGGCUUCAAGAUCUUCAAGAGAUAGUCCACAGAGUCUGUAAUCACUCACUGUCACGGGAGUUCUUCUACUUGCCUGAUCACAGAAAUCAUCAGGCCCUCCACCUGUGAGUUACAUGACCUUCCUGGAGAUUUUGGUGCAUUAAUGAUGGGGUGUGGUCCAGAAUACAGAGAAGAGAACAAAGGCCCAGGGGGAUCUUCUCAGGCAAAUGUGAGAAACACUUCUAAAACCUUUUUCUGUAUUUUAUAGUUUUCACCUAUUUUACUCUAAAACUGAAAAUAAGAGACUCUCCUUUAUUAUUAUGGUGGACUAGCUUUAUAAAAAUGCCAAAAUACACAUAAUAUAUUCUUCACAUAAAUGACUGAAAGUAACUAGAAACAAGCUGACAUUUGGGAGAAAGUAGGUUAAUUA